UAUCAACCAAUUAGCAAGUCUUCCAAAUCAAGCACCAGAAGAUGGAGAUGAUGGUGCGCUUGUUGAUCUUAUUGGACGUCGACUUUCAAUUUAAGCCGAUUUCCUCUUUUAUAAUUACAGGCUGGUACCGUUAUUCUUAAUCUGCAAAAUGGCAUCUUGAAAUGAUGUACUCUCAGAAAAGGACGACGAGAGAUGGGUUUCAAGUCCUCUUGUAUUCAUCAACAUCCAACAUCGAUGCAACAUGGAAUAGGAAGACGAAAGGGAAUGGAUUCAUCUUAUUAAAUUGCAAAGGGUAUUUCAGCGCUUUUUCCAAAAUCCGGGAUCGAUGCAACAUAGAAUAGUCUCAGUAAAACGAAAGCGGCUGGAUCCAUCCUAUUAAAUUGAAAAGUUGUUUGUUGUAGCUGGUGACUUCCUGACGAGUAAGGAAACCAAUGCCCGCAAUAUCCGAUUCUUUUAAUCGUUUGAUGAACCCUACUGACAGGUAUCAGUAUGCUUUUGGUUAAAUUUCAAAAUCGAAAUAAAUGUCAAAUAUAAUACCAGUAAUAAAACUUUAUUA